rnacentral:lncRNA from 1 species
UGAUUAGAAUUGUAGAGCACAAAGUUGCCAGUGUCCAGCAUGGAAGCUGAAGCAAUGGCUUGAGAAGGAUUUAUAACAGGUAUUUCUUGGCCUUGUCCUACUUGCACAAUGAGCCUUCCAUCACUAGUUAAGAGCAAGACAGCGCUGCUUGGGACAGCAGGACUGAUUCUGUUUGCUGUCCACACUGCUGUCUUCUUCGGCAUGCUGCUGAUGGAGAUUCCAACAGCGUAGCCAUUAGUUUGCUCAUAAAACCCAAAGGAAAAGCGCCUUGAGGGUGAAAACCAUGACGAAUUGGCAGUAGGUGUUAGAGAAGAACCAGGAGUUAUAUUGAAGUUUCUUUGUUGUGCUAGUGCUACUACAUGAAAUGCAGAUAGGAAUAAUAACCAUAGCAAAACAGCCAUUGAUUUUAGAAUUUCUUCUCUUUCUUUUCCUCUGAUUUAUCACAAAAUUGCAUUGCUAUUAUAUUCAGUUUAUAGUUGGAAGAAUCCAAAGACUUCAGCUAUUCUAGGUCAAGUCAAUGUUUGCCAAUUAAGAAAGCUGUUCACUAACUAGUUGAAAGAAAAGUAAUAUAGGAGACUUGGAAAUUAUUAAGUCCUGUCGAUUCUGAGAAAAUACCACGUAUAUAAGUCUAUAAAUGACAUUAUCCUUAUUGAGUCCUGUCAAUAUCAUUUUAAGUGUAAAUACCUAUGACCACCUUGAAUCGGUGAAUGUUAGGUGAAAUUUUUUACAAGUCUUUAGUCAAGCAAUAAUACUUUUAAAUUGUGGUAUUUGUAGGGCCCGGUUGUACCUUGUGCUUCUACAGGAUUGGCAAGCUAAAGUCAGUUUGUUAGUGACAUAUUUGAUGGCCAGAACCCCUGUUUACGAUAAGCGCAAUAAAAAUUACUUAUGACAGUUUAAACCUCAUUUAGUAUUCAUUGUUUGAUACACCUCAAUGAAACAGAUAUAAGAGUUUAAUUUCUGUAUAGUAACAGUGUCAGGUCAUCUAAAAAGAUUUAGAUCAACUCGACUUGUUCCUUAUCAUGCUUGUGGUUGAAGACAAUUGUGUAUUGCUCAGUUGGUAAAAGUACCUCUACCUACGACCGUUAGGUCCUGGGUUCGAGUCAC